AGAGCAGCAAGGCUGGGCAAAGAGUCUGAUAUGCCCCAAUGUCUGAACACAGCCUUCCCUGCCCUGGCUUCAGGCUCCAGGAGCGGCCAGUGACCCCAGGCUGGGACACUGAGUAGGCACUGCCUCCAUACAGAAACCCGAGUAUAUAGAUGGCCAUUAAAAGAAUUUUUCAAAAUGAUAAACUCGUUUACCAGGCUACCAAGAUAAAUCUGCUCCUGGGAAUUGCAUUUUGGUGUGCCUGGGAGCAGUCACGUGCUGGAGAGUUGAAAGGGACACGUAGCUGAUGAGCGAUAGGAUCAGCAGGGCGACGCUGAGCAUGACCAGCCCCAGCACACUGGCGACCCGGGCCAUUUUGCAGUGUCUCAUCCCGGGCUGCGCCGGGAUCAGGGGAAGCAGGGGAGUCGGUCCAUGGAGCGGCCGGCAGCUCGCCGGCGUGCCAGCGUGUGCGUGUUAUUCAGCAGCUGCGCGCUUCUCCGAGACGCAGAGACGGCGCUUUUAGGAGGAGACACCCUUGCAAGCUCCUCUCCUCGGCACCGGCACCGAGGCACCGCCCUGAGCCCCACGCGGCCCAGCAGCCCAGCACCCCAGCAGGCCAGCACCCCAGCAAAGACGCCCCAACAGCUGCUGGGCCAGCCUGCCUUGUGAGCGCUUCAAACCUCCCUGGAAUUUUCCAGAAUCUCUCCCCUAUCCACUUCCUGUGCCCAUGACAUACAUUUUUUUUUCUCUCUCUUUCUCUCUAAAAGAUGGGCAGUGCCUAGCAAGGUUAUGAGGUGAGCUGUGAGUGUGGAGGGCCUUGUUCUAGCACAUAGCAGGUGGCCCGGCCCGGUUGACCAGGCCUGGAGCAGUACUUCCUGAUUUAACUCUACACUGCCCACUCUCCUGACCCAUCCCCUGGGCCAGCUCUUGGGGAUGGGCCACCAGACAGCCUUGUGGGGGCCAGAAGCUAAAGGCACUAUAAACUUUAUAAAUGCACAGAAUUCUCUUGUGAAGGAGCUCAAGAACCAGGUAAGAGAGGCUGCCUCUAAGAGUGGAAGGAAAGCUCACCGCCUAACACUUUGCAUUGCUUGACCUUCAGUUUGUUUUAGGAUAUUCGUAUGUUGCCUGUUUUAAUAUUCAUUGGAAAUAAAAAUUAAUUCAUUUUCAGUCAGGCUGCUGGAUGCUGGGGCAACCCACAUAUUUCUUGAGUUCUGUUCUUUGCAAUUAGCUUGUGGCUUCUUCCACUCUCGUCUUGUGCUUAGCCUGGUCCUUCCAAUACUGGUCAAUAAGCACUAAUGAAAGAAGCUGGAGGUGAGAAACUGGCCUCUGAGAACCUUUUCCAGUAAGGCAAAUGGAUACUUUCCGAGAUGGUUAUGAUUUCUUUCUCUCCUGAACUUCUUGCUUUAUGGACUCUGGUGGACCUAAUGUUAUGAUCUCUCUCUGGACCUCAAAUUCCUCAAAGGGCUGAACUCCUGGACCGUAAACUACUGCAAAGCCAGGGCCCCAUCUUCUUCCUUGCUAUUUGCUCAUACUGGCCAGAAGUUGUCCCAUGUAGAGGGCACGCUUAAUAAAUAUUUGAGAACUGAAUAAGGUCCCCUGUGAAAAACACGUGUCCAGUUGUGGACAGUGGCAUUGCAAAUGUUUGUUUUCAAUGAAUGACAAAGGCAGUUGCUCAUUUUUCACUCAUAGAAGACAUUUCAUACCAAAAUCUAAAAAUGUGGAAUGGGGUGCGUGGGUGGCUCAGUCUGUUAGGCAUCCAGCUUUUGAUUUGGCUCAGGUGGUAAUCUUGGGGUCAGGAGGUGGACCCCUAAGUCGGGCUCCAUGCUAGAUGUGGAGCCUGGGAUUCUCUCUCUCCCUCUCUCAAAAAAAAAAAAAAAUUUAGAAAAGUAAAAUGUGGGCCAAAAGGACACAAAUAAUCUUCUUUUU